AUUGUGAGUUUAUUUUGAGAUCAUUCGAAAGCAAAAAAAUACAUACAGAUCGCCAUGGACGCCAUUGAUUCCGUCGUUGAUCCUCUCAGAGACUUCGCUAAGGAUAGCAUUCGUCUCGUUAAACGUUGUCACAAGCCAGAUCGCAAAGAAUUCACGAAAGUGGCUGUUCGUACUGCGAUUGGGUUUGUAGUGAUGGGGUUCGUUGGCUUCUUUGUGAAGCUCAUCUUUAUUCCGAUCAACAACAUCAUCGUCGGUGCUACUUAGGAAGCUUUUGUGGUAGUGAUAUUAGAUUCAAGAUCUCUGAGUCUGAAGCACUUCAAUUGCAAAUGAAUCAAAGGACACAAGUCAGUUGUAUGUUUUUGAGGAAAGAAGAUUAGAAAUUUUCUUGUGUCAAGGCAGCACAUGUCAGUUCUGUGUUUUUGUGUAAUUGGAUUCCAUUUUGUUUCAAUGUUCUUUUUUGGUUCUUUUUUGAGUUGGAAACAAAACAAAAAUCAGACUUUUCUUGAAUGUAGAUCAAACUAAUUUAGUAAGCCAACUAAUUGAUGUUCUUUUGCACCC